rnacentral:lncRNA from 1 species
ACGGGUAUAAAUCCGGGAAGAAUAAAUCUGGUUGUAAAACAAUGCAUAUUAUAUAUUGUUGUCAGAAAUUGUAGCAAAAGAAAUAUACAUCACCCAAAAAUCAAAACAUGUAAUUAAAAGUCUAAACUGCAAUAAUUAAUACAAGUUCUAUAUUUUCCUCUCUCUUCAAUUUAUAUUCCGUAUUCAAGUGUGAUUUUUUUUAUCAUAUUUAAGCUAAAACUUAAGAAAUCCUUAUUAAAGAUUUUAUGAUCUCAUAUUAUCUAUAUAUAUCAACAAAUUUCAGAAUUAAAUAUACUUAUUUCAUCAACAAAACAGUAUUUUAGAUAUAGAAAAACACACCAAAAACAAGUUCA